rfam:Cavia porcellus supercont2_115 genomic scaffold, whole genome shotgun sequence.
GGGGAUUUAGCUCAGCGGCAUAAGCGCCUGCCUUGCAAGCAGGCAGUCGUGGGUUCGAUCCCUGGUACCGCUA